CCUACGGGUGGCAGCAGUGGGGAAUAUUGCACAAUGGGGGAAACCCUGAUGCAGCGACGCCGCGUGAGUGAAGAAGUAAUUCGUUACGUAAAGCUCUAUCAGCCGGGAAGAAACACUGACCUUACGGUCAGCAGACGGUACCUGAGUAAGAAGCCCCGGCCAACUACGUGCCAGCAGCCGCGGUAAUACGUAGGGGGCAAGCGUUAUCCGGAGUUACUGGGUGUAAAGGGAGCGUAGACGGUGCGCCAAGUCUGGCGUGAAAUGCCGCAGCUUAACUGCGGAACUGCUUUGGAAACUGGCGAACUAGAGUGCGGGUGGGGUAAGAGGAAUGGCUGGUGUAGCGGUGAAAUGCGUAGAUAUUAGGAGGAACACCGGUGGCGAAGGCGGCUUACUGGACCGUGACUGACGUUGAGGCUCGAAAGCGUGGGGAGCAAACAGGAUUAGAUACCCUUGUAGUC
rnacentral:rRNA from 1 species